GAACAAGGAGAAUCUGAAUGUUUAAUUAAAACAAAUCAUUGUGAUGGUCCCUAUGGAUGUUGUUGCAAUGUCAUUUUUGCCUAGUGCUCUGAAUGUUAAAGUGAAGAAAUUCAACCAAGCACGAGUAAAUGGAGGGAGUAACUACGACUCUCUUAAGGUAGCCAAAUGCCUUGUCAUCUAAUUAGUGACGCACAUGAAUGGAUUAAUGAGAUUCCC
rnacentral:ncRNA from 1 species